rnacentral:rRNA from 1 species
GACGAACGCUGGCGGCGUGCCUAAUACAUGCAAGUUGAGCGCAGAAGGCUGGUACUUGUACCAACUUGAUGAUCAGCGAACGGGUGAGUAACGCGUGGCGAAUCUGCCAUUGGGCGGGGGACAACAUUUGAAAACGAAUGCUAAUACCUCAUAAAAACUUGAACAGCAAGUUUUAAGCUUGAAAGAUGAAAUUGCAUCUCUCAAUGAUGAUCCCGCGUUGUAUUUGUCAGUUGGUUAGGGAAAGGCUCACCAAGGCGAUGAUACAUCGCCGACCUGAGAGGGGGAUGGGCCACAUUGGACCUGGGACACGGCCCAAGCCCCUACGGGAGGCAGCAGGAGGGAGUCUUCGGCAAUAGACGAAAGGCGGAACGCUCAACGCGGCGUGAGUGGAGAAGGUUUUCGGAUCGUAAGACGUUGUUUGUAUAGGAGAGCGAUGGAGAGAGUUGAUAGCUCAUGAAGUGACGGUAGCUACCCAGAAAGCGACGGCUAACUACGUG